AAGGUUGACCUCGGAU
rnacentral:rRNA from 5 species